AACAAAACUACUAUAGCAGCCUCCACCGUCCUCCAGUGGCACCGUCAAUAGCAGCUCGCGCUAGAAUCGCACUCUCCUUCCGUCAUCAGACUGUCGACGAACCGGGCCUUCUAUCUCUCCCUAGAAACUACUCCAAUUGAGGUCGCUGCACUUUCGGUUUGUUGUUUUUGUGGAAAAGUAAUGCUAGAUGGGCACGAUGUUAAUGUUUUUACAAUGCUAAUAAAGGUUGUUUUUUGAUGACAGCAUCCGCAAUUUACAGAUUGCUAAACGCUUAGGCCUCCACACAGUUGCGGGAUUCACAUAUGGCUUUAUCUUCAUGGAGGAGAACUGGAAUUUUCUUGUGCACAGGGUUGGACUUAAGAAGAAGUUCACUUUUGGGAUUCAAGGUCUCUUCAACAAACUCGUAAUCUACACCCUUGAGGUUAAGGGCUAUCUGCACCCUUAGGGCAAAAGGGCUGAACCACCCACCCAAAAGCUUCAACUCGUUUUUAGCCAUCACUAUGCAGCAGCAAUGU